rnacentral:tRNA from 1 species
GGGGAUUUAGCUCAGUGGCAUAAGCACCUGCCUUGCAAGCAGGAAGUCAUGAGUUCGAUCCCCG